AAAUUUAUCGACAUGUUGGCUAAACUGUUUUUUUUUUUUUAAUACUUAACGUAAAAUUAGUUAAUUGGAUGCAAAAUAUUAUCUUUGUAAAUGAAAGGAUAAUAAUUGGUGAAUAGAAAGGAUACCAACAUUUAGCCAACAUGAUGCAAAACAGAAAUAAGAUAUCGAUCUACGGUCUACGUAUAGUAUAGACCUCGUUCGACUUGGUUCAACUUGGUCUUUGGCCUACGGAUGUGGAAUAUGGAUAGAUUCAGAGAAGUCGAGAAAAACUGGAUUAGCUGCAGCAAGAGGAGUCAAAAUUAGCCUGGUCCGGCGUUCUGCCACGCCCACCUGGUUGAUCGCCCGACAACUGUAGUUCCCCGCAUGCCCCUCCCCCGCCCUGUUGAUCAGCAGUAGGCUGGUGUGUUCGCCAACUGUGGCCUGAGUGACGUCAUCGUUGCCAUCAUCGUGCACCUGACGCCCAUCUAGCCACCAUUCGAACAUAAUGGGCGUGGACCCCCGGCUGGCAAUGCAGGAUGGACCAGCGACUGGCCACGCCCGCCGCGUUGCUGGCCACGCACGUGUAGUUGCCGGAGUCACCAAUGGUGGUCUGACGCAGCGACAGGAUCAGGGUGUAUUCGUCGAUCUUGUGGUAGAUGGAGCGCAGCAGGGGCUGUCCGUCCUUCAGCCAGUAGAUGUCGAUGGGCAGGUCGCCGGAGGAGACCAUGCACAUGACCCGCACUGCCUGGCCGCCAUUCACCCCGUUGGCAUUGAAGUGGAACUGAUCAACCUGGGGCAGCUCUGGGAGCGGAUGAUAAGAAAGCCGUGCAUGGAAUGAACACACUGUACAGCGAGGAAAUUUCGGAUGGGUGUACUACGAAAACCCCCAACUCGAGUUGUAUAAUACAGAUAAUACAGGAUUCCAAUCUACGACUAAGACGCCACCCCCAGCUAGCGAUUCCUUAGGAGUAAUUCGCACAAACCCUUGACACUCAGGUGGGUCUCAGCCGUGGUUUCGCCCGCCCGGUUGGCGCCCUUGCAGGUGUAGUUGCCCGCGUGGUCACCCCCCACGCUCUCGAUGUUCAGCGAGCUGCUGCGCCGGCCGUGCAUCAGGAUGGUGACCCCGGCCAAGUCUCCGGCGGGCUCGUUGUUGUAGUACCAGGUAAUGUUGAAGGGUGCGUCGCCGUGCACCACCGCGCACGUCAACUGGUAGUAGUCGCCCACGUACAGUGGCGAAUUUACGGG
ensembl:ncRNA asRNA:CR45129 antisense RNA:CR45129